GACGAACGCUGGCGGCGCGCCUAACACAUGCAAGUCGAACGGGCGAGAGAGAGCUUGCUUUCUCGAGCGAGUGGCGAACGGGUGAGUAACGCGUGAGGAACCUGCCUCAAAGAGGGGGACAACAGUUGGAAACGACUGCUAAUACCGCAUAAGCCCACGACCCGGCAUCGGGUAGAGGGAAAAGGAGCAAUCCGCUUUGAGAUGGCCUCGCGUCCGAUUAGCUAGUUGGUGAGGUAACGGCCCACCAAGGCGACGAUCGGUAGCCGGACUGAGAGGUUGAACGGCCACAUUGGGACUGAGACACGGCCCAGACUCCUACGGGAGGCAGCAGUGGGGAAUAUUGCACAAUGGGGGAAACCCUGAUGCAGCGACGCCGCGUGGAGGAAGAAGGUCUUCGGAUUGUAAACUCCUGUUGUUGAGGAAGAUAAUGACGGUACUCAACAAGGAAGUGACGGCUAACUACGUG
rnacentral:rRNA from 1 species